UUUAUUGUGGCAGAAAAAUGCAUUGAAUUUAAGCUUCAAAGAUAGAAAGUUUGUUUUCUCUUUAAAU
rnacentral:tRNA from 2 species